UAGGGAAUCUUCCACAAUGGGCGAAAGCCUGAUGGAGCAACGCCGCGUGUGUGAUGAAGGCUUUCGGGUCGUAAAGCACUGUUGUAUGGGAAGAACAGUUAGAAUAGGAAAUGAUUUUAGUUUGACGGUACCAUACCAGAAAGGGACGGCUAAAUACGUGCCAA
rnacentral:rRNA from 1 species